rnacentral:tRNA from 1 species
UCGGGAAGUAGCUCAGCUUGGUAGAGCACUUGGUUUGGGACCAAGGGGUCGCAGGUUCGAAUCCUGUCUUCCCGAUC